GCUAAUUCAAGGUCACUUAUGGCGAUAAUACUAAUCCGCAUCCUCUUUGCUUUAGCUGUUGAUUACAUACCAUGUUUGGAGGCUAGAAAGCUGAUCAUGGAGCCUUCCUUGAAAGAUUCCAGUCUGGUUCAAGGUCUCCUUCCCACGGCCCCUGCACUGCCUUCUUCUCCGGGUGAAACCCUUAUUUCCGUUCAUCUUGCCAUGAUCGAUCCUAUUUUGCAGUCUGUCCCGAGUCCAGGAGCAGGCCAUUUGGCAAUCUACACAUUGCAUGUUCCACCUUACGUGAAUGCCUAGAUUUUCCUUUCGAUCUUGGAAGGAAUUGGUAAAUCAUUACAAAUAGUUAUUAAUAUAUGCAUAUCUGGU
rnacentral:lncRNA from 1 species